rnacentral:rRNA from 1 species
GACGAACGCUGGCGGCGUGCUUAACACAUGCAAGUCGAGCGGAGCGGCGAACGGGUGAGUAACGCGUGAGUAACUGCCCCCCUCUCUGGGAUAACAGUUGGAAACGGCUGCUAAUACCGGAUAGUGGGGGAUGACUCGCGUCCUAUCAGCUUGUUGGUGGGGUAGUGGCCUACCAAGGCGACGACGGGUAGCCGGCCUGAGAGGGCGACCGGCCACAGUGGGCGGAGAUAGCACCCAAACUCCUACGGGAGGCAGCGGGGGGGAAUAGUGCACGAUGGGGGAAACCCUGAUGCAGCAACGCCGGGUGCGGGAUGACGGUCAUCGGGUUGUAAACCGCUUUCAGCCAUGACGCGGUAGUGGCAGAAGAAGCACCGGCUAACUACGUGCCAACAGCCGCGGUAAUUC